rnacentral:piRNA from 1 species
GAGCAGAGAGGCCACGUGAUAUGUCU